rnacentral:misc_RNA from 1 species
UGCAGCCGUCUCGAACACGUC